GGCUUGGUGGCUGAGUCGUAAAGCACUUGGCUUCCGAACCGACGGGAUCCCGGGUUCGAAUCUCGGUCAAAACCG
rnacentral:tRNA from 1 species